GUUUUUUGCCCGAAUAAAUGUGGGCGCAUGGUUCACCAGUUCAUCGACUGUUGGGCGUGCAAAACCGAGCUCUUCUCCUGCAACCGGAACCUGUCCUGCGGGAAGCGGACGCUGCAGGUCCACCAGGAUGACGACCUGAUCCUGGACUGUGCUUUGACCUGGCACCGUGCCAGCUAUG